GGGGAGAUGGCGGAGCGGCCGAUCGCGCCCGUCUUGAAAACGGGUAGGGGUUCAUCGCCCCUCGUGGGUUCGAUUCCCACUCUCCCCGCCG
rnacentral:tRNA from 1 species